AACGAACGCUGGCGGCAUGCCUAACACAUGCAAGUCGAACGAUGCUUUCGGGCAUAGUGGCGCACGGGUGCGUAACGCGUGGGAAUCUGCCCUUGGGUUCGGAAUAACAGUUGGAAACGACUGCUAAUGCCGGAUGAAGACGAAAGUCCAAAGAUUUAUCGCCUGAGGAUGAGCCCGCGUAAGAUUAGGUAGUUGGUGGGGUAAAGGCCUACCAAGCCGACGAUCUUUAGCUGGUCUGAGAGGAUGAUCAGCCACACUGGGACUGAGACACGGCCCAGACUCCUACGGGAGGCAGCAGUGGGGAAUAUUGGACAAUGGGCGAAAGCCUGAUCCAGCAAUGCCGCGUGAAUGAUGAAGGCCUUAGGGUUGUAAAGCUCUUUUACCCGGGAUGAUAAUGACAGUACCGGGAGAAUAAGCCCCGGCUAACUCCGUGCCAGCAGCCGCAGUAG
rnacentral:rRNA from 1 species